UACGUAGGGCGCAAGCGUUAUCCGGAAUUAUUGGGCGUAAAGAGCUCGUAGGCGGUUUGUCGCGUCUGCCGUGAAAGUCCGGGGCUCAACUCCGGAUCUGCGGUGGGUACGGGCAGACUAGAGUGGAUGUAGGGGAGACUGGAAUUCCUGGUGUAGCGGUGAAAUGCGCAGAUAUCAGGAGGAACACCGAGUGGCGAAGGCGGUCUCUGGGCAUUAACUGACGCUGAGGAGCGAAAGCAUGGGGAGCAAACAGG
rnacentral:rRNA from 1 species